AACGAACGCUGGCGGCAUGCCUAACACAUGCAAGUCGAACGAGAUCUUCGGGUCUAGUGGCGCACGGGUGCGUAACGCGUGGGAAUCUGCCCUUUGGUUCGGAAUAACAGUUGGAAACGACUGCUAAUACCGGAUGAUGACGAAAGUCCAAAGAUUUAUCGCCAGAGGAUGAUCCCGCGUAGGAUUAGCUAGUUGGUGUGGUAAAGGCGCACCAAGGCGACGAUCCUUAGCUGGUCUGAGAGGAUGAUCAGCCACACUGGGACUGGUACACGGCCCAGACUCCUACGGGAGGCAGCAGUGGGGAAUAUUUGACAAUGGGCGAAAGCCUGCUCCAGCAAUGCCGCGUGAGUGAUGAAGGCCUUAGGGUUGUAAAGCUCUUUUACCCGGGAUGAUAAUGACAGUACCGGGAGAAUAAGCUCCGGCUAACUCCGUGCCAGCCGCCGCGGUAA
rnacentral:rRNA from 1 species